AAAAUGCACUUUGAUGAACUCUGUCUCAUGACCCUUCUUCCUUGGACAGACUGCUGCUCUAGAGAAAGAGAGAAAGCACAGGCAGGGGGAGUAGCAGGCUCCCCGCUGAGCAGGGAUCCCAAUGUGUGACUAGAUCCCAGGACCCUGAGACCAUGACCCGAACCAAAUGCAGAUGCCCAACUGACUGAGCCACCC
rnacentral:lncRNA from 1 species